rnacentral:tRNA from 1 species
GGAAGUGGCUCAGUGGUAGAGCAUCGCCUUGCCAAGGCGAGGGUCGCGGGUUCGAAUCCCGUCUCGUGCUUCA